AUGGAUUUGGUUGAAUUUCAGUUAUUAUUGCAUAUUUAUGUUCCAAUUAUUUAUUGUGUAGUAAACUAUGGCGUCGUGCUGCUGUUGGCUGUUCUCCUCAAAUACUACAACAACGAGGCUUCAAAGUAUUACACUACAAUUUAUGCUGCCACGAGAUGCAUCACCAAAGAGCCCGAGUACUACAUCACCACCCCCAGCAAC